AUGAACGCUAGCGACAGGCUUAACACAUGCAAGUCGAGGGGCAGCGGGGGAUAAGCUUGCUUUUCCUGCCGGCGACCGGCGCACGGGUGAGUAACACGUAUGCAACCUGCCCCUGUCAGAGGGAUAAUCCGGAGAAAUCCGGUCUAAUAUCGCAUAAAGCGUUUGCGGGGCAUCCUGCGAGCGCCAAAGGAGUAAUCCGGACAGGGAUGGGCAUGCGGCGCAUUAGCUAGUUGGGGGGGUAACGGCCCACCAAGGCGACGAUGCGUAGGGGUUCUGAGAGGAAGGUCCCCCACAUUGGUACUGAGACACGGACCAAACUCCUACGGGAGGCAGCAGUGAGGAAUAUUGGUCAAUGGGCGGAAGCCUGAACCAGCCAAGUCGCGUGAGGGAAGACGGCCCUAAGGGUUGUAAACCUCUUUUGCCGGGGAGCAAAAGCGCCGUGCGCGGUGCUAUGAGAGUACCCGGAGUAAAAGCAUCGGCUAACUCCGUGCCAGCAGCCGCGGUAAUACGGAGGAUGCGAGCGUUAUCCGGAUUUAUUGGGUUUAAAGGGUGCGUAGGCGGACAGUUAAGUCAGCGGUCAAAACGGGCGGCUCAACCGCCUGCCGCCGUUGAAACUGGCAGUCUAGAGUGGGCGAGAAGUACGCGGAAUGCGCGGUGUAGCGGUGAAAUGCAUAGAUAUUGCGCAGAACUCCGAUUGCGAAGGCAGCGUACCGGCGCCCGACUGACGCUGAGGCACGAAAGCGUGGGGAUCGAACAGGAUUAGAUACCCUGGUAGUCCACGCUGUAAACGAUGAAUACUAGGUGUGCGGGGACUGACCCCCUGCGUGCCGCAGUUAACACAAUAAGUAUUCCACCUGGGGAGUACGAUCGCAAGGUUGAAACUCAAAGGAAUUGACGGGGGCCCGCACAAGCGGAGGAACAUGUGGUUUAAUUCGAUGAUACGCGAGGAACCUUACCCGGGCUCAAACGCACGACGGCGGCACGUGAAAGCGUGCUUACCUACGGGACGUUGUGCGAGGUGCUGCAUGGUUGUCGUCAGCUCGUGCCGUGAGGUGUUGGGUUAAGUCCCGCAACGAGCGCAACCCUUAUCCUUUGUUGCCAGCGGUCCGGCCGGGAACUCAAAGGAGACUGCCAGUGAUAAACUGGAGGAAGGUGGGGAUGACGUCAAAUCAGCACGGCCCUUACGUCCGGGGCGACACACGUGUUACAAUGGCAGGGACAGAGGGAAGCCACCGGGCGACCGGGCGCGGACCCCGAAACCCUGUCUCAGUUCGGAUCGGAGUCUGCAACUCGACUCCGUGAAGCUGGAUUCGCUAGUAAUCGCGCAUCAGCCACGGCGCGGUGAAUACGUUCCCGGGCCUUGUACACACCGCCCGUCACACCAUGAGAGCCGGGGGGACCCGAAGUCGAUAGUCUAACCGCAAGGAGGACGUCGCCGAAGGUAAAACUGGUGAUUGGGGUG
rnacentral:rRNA from 1 species